UACUGAGUGGCAGACGGGUGAGUAACAUGUGGGAAUCUGCCUUGUGGUUCAGGACAACAUUGGGAAACCGAUGCUAAUACUGGAUAAGCCCUUACGGGGAAAGUUUUAACGCCAUAAGAUGAGCCCGCAUUUGAUCAGUUAGUUGGUGAGGUAAUGGCUCACCAAGACAAUGAUCAAUAGCUGAUCUGAGAGGAUGAUCAGCCACACUGGGACUGAGACACGGCCCAGACUCCUACGGGAGGCAGCAGUGGGGAAUCUUGCACAAUGGAGGAAACUCUGAUGCAGCGAUGCCGCGUGAGUGAAGAAGGCCUUUGGGUUGUAAAGCUCUUUUGUAGGGGAAGAUAAUGACUGUACCCUAAGAAUAAGGUCCGGCUAACUUCGUGCCAGCAGCCGCGGUAAUACGAAGGGACCUAGCGUAGUUCGGAAUUACUGGGCGUAAAGCGCGCGUAGGCCGUUGAGUUAGUUAAUUGUGAAAUCCCAAAGCUUAACUUUGGAACUG
rnacentral:rRNA from 1 species